CAGUAGCCGCGGUAACACAGAGGGUGCAAGCGUUAAUCGGAAUUACUGGGCGUAAAGCGCGCGUAGGUGGUUUGUUAAGUUGGAUGUGAAAUCCCCGGGCUCAACCUGGGAACUGCAUCCAAAACUGGCAGGCUAGAGUAGGGCAGAGGGUGGUGGAAUUUCCUGUGUAGCGGUGAAAUGCGUAGAUAUAGGAAGGAACACCAGUGGCGAAGGCGACCACCUGGGCUCAUACUGACACUGAGGUGCGAAAGCGUGGGGAGCAAACAGGAUUAGAUACCCCUGUAGUCCCUGUCUCUUAUAC
rnacentral:rRNA from 1 species